CAUUAGCUUCAAUAACACCAGAGUGUGUUCGGUUUGUUGGGGUUGAGUGUGUUCCUGUGUGAUUAUGUAGGUUUAUGUGUUCACUGAAUGUUUCAGUGUCUGUCUGAAUCUUCUUAAUUCACUAAAUAGGCUGGACACAUGGGAGAAUGUAGAGAAGAGAGUGAAGGAGCACUUGCUUUGACUGAUUGAGGGGGCAGCCGAGGGCUUGCAGCACGGCAGCAGCUUGAGGAAUCGCUGCUUUAUGGUUUUUUUGCUUUGGCUGGUGGAAGGAUUACCUGCAAUCGCCAACCAUAGCACAAAGCAAGACCCCAGCAGUCUGAGGGAUGAAAGCCAUGAUGGGGUGGAAACCAAUACAACCACAGAACCUUCACUGACAAUCUAGUCUCUGUGAUGUGUCACCCUGUUGUCCCUCUAUCCCAUGGAGCCUCUGAGACUCUGGCCGGGGCUCUGGCGUCAUUUGAAGCCAGAAGAGGGGGAGCACAUCGGCCAAUGGAAACAAGAUUAAUAUGUCCAGCCGCCUAGCACAGGCCUAGCCCUCUGCCCCAGGGUCUGUAGACAUCGGUGAAGUGUUCAUAAAAUUUGAUGAUCUACAAUUCUUUGACAUCUGGGCUGCUCCAUCUGCUGAGGA